GUGUUCAUGUUGGUAAUGCACAAAAAUUACCACCGUGUUGCCAGAAGAAUCCUGACUAUCCUAAUCUUGAAUGUCAACCAAUUGUGUGUGAGAAGCUCCCAUGUUGCGACCCUGGCCAACCUCCUGUCUUUUUUAGUACUAUGAAACCAAUCAAUUUGCAUUUGUGA